rnacentral:tRNA from 1 species
GACAGCUCAGUUGGUAGAGCAUGAGACUCUUAAUCUCAGGGUUGUGGGUUUGAGUCCCACGUUGGACA